UACAGAGGUCCCAAGCGUUGUUCGGAUUCACUGGGCGUAAAGGGCGCGUAGGCGGCCUGGUCAGUCGGGUGUGAAAGCCCGGGGCUCAACCCCGGAACGGCACCCGAGACGGCGAGGCUGGAGACCGGGAGAGGAGGGUGGAAUAGCCAGUGUAGAGGUGAAAUUCGUAGAUAUUGGCUGGAACACCGGUGGCGAAAGCGGCUCUCUGGCCCGGUUCUGACGCUGAGGCGCGAAAGCGUGGGGAGCAAACAGG
rnacentral:rRNA from 1 species